UCGUUGUAGCAAUACGAUGGAAAGUUUAGUGGCGAACGGGUGCUUAACACGUGGGCAACCUGCCAGGAAGUGGGGGAUAGCUCGCCGAAAGGCGAAUUAAUACCGCAUGUGAUUAGAGAGGACAUCCUUUCAAAAUUAAAGUCGGGGCAACCUGACGCUUCUUGUGGGGCCCGCGGCCUAUCAGCUAGUUGGUGAGGUAACGGCUCACCAAGGCUUUGACGGGUAGCUGGUCUGAGAGGACGACCAGCCACACUGGGACUGAGACACGGCCCAGACACCUACGGGUGGCAGCAGUCGAGAAUUUUUGACAAUGGGGGAAACCCUGAUCGAGCGACGCCGCGUGGAGGAUGAAGGUCCUCGGAUUGUAAACUCCUGUCAUUGGGGAACAAUGCACAGAUAUUAACUGUAUUUGUGUUGAUAGUACCCGAAGAGGAAGAGACGGCUAACUCUGUGCCAGCAGCCGCGGUAAUACAGAGGUCUCAAGCGUUGUUCGGAUUCAUUGGGCGUAAAGGGUGCGUAGGCGGCGCGGUAAGUCGGGUGUGAAAUCUCGGAGCUUAACUUCGAAACUGCAUUCGAUACUGCCGUGCUUGAGGACUGGAGAGGAGACUGGAAUUCUCGGUGUAGCA
rnacentral:rRNA from 1 species